GGGAACAUCAUCAGUGUAUAUGGCGAUGGGAAGAGCUGGAGCUGCUGCACAGUUCCUUGCCGCUCCGAAGAUCCUGUGUGCUCAGCCGUCUGGACUCGUCUGUUAAAGUCGCCUGUGUCUGCGUGCUGCAGAUCUGCCUGUUUCCCCAUAAGAGGCUAACAUCAUUCCAGAAAUGAAACCAGG